UUCAAUUCUUAAUCUAUAAGUUUCCAUUCCUAUUUUUUACCAAUUGACUAUUUCACUACCCAGGUUUUUCGAGGCGGAGGUGUUAAAUCUGGCCUUGGACCUUUUUUCUUCCAAUCGGUUGUAUUCGAUCUGAAGCUAACUAGUAUAGCGUAAAUAUGAGGGAAAAGCUAUGGUUUUCAUUGUGUGUGUGGCUUUUGCUGUGUGGGUCUUGCUUGGGUAGGUUUGUGGUUGAGAAGAACAGCUUGAAAGUGACUGUUCCAGAUUCAGUGAAGGGGGC
rnacentral:misc_RNA from 1 species